rnacentral:rRNA from 1 species
AUACGUAGGUGGCAAGCGUUGUCCGGAAUUAUUGGGCGUAAAGCGCGCGCAGGUGGUUCCUUAAGUCUGAUGUGAAAGCCCCCGGCUCAACCGGGGAGGGUCAUUGGAAACUGGGGAACUUGAGUGCAGAAGAGGAUAGUGGAAUUCAAAGUGGAGCGGUGAAAUGCGUAGAGAUUUGGAGGAACACCAGUGGCGAAGGCGACUGUCUGGUCUGUAACUGACACUGAGGCGCGAAAGCGUGGGGAGCAAACAGGAUUAGAUACCCUGGUAGUCCACGCCGUAAACGAUGAGUGCUAAGUGUUGGGGGGUUUCCGCCCCUCAGUGCUGCAGCUAACGCAUUAAGCACUCCGCCUGGGGAGUACGGUCGCAAGACUGAAACUCAAAUGAAUUGACGGGG